rnacentral:tRNA from 1 species
AGCUUCUUAGCGCAGUAGGUAGCGCGUUGGGCUCAUAUCUUCUCUAUGUAACCUUUUCACUCUCGAGUGGUGAUACCCAAAGGUCGUCGGAUCGAAACCGACAGAAGCUA